rnacentral:rRNA from 1 species
CCUACGGGAGGCAGCAGUGAGGAAUAUUGGUCAAUGGACGAGAGUCUGAACCAGCCAAGUAGCGUGAAGGAUGACUGCCCUAUGGGUUGUAAACUUCUUUUAUAAAGGAAUAAAACGAGGCACGUGUGCCUUUUUGCAUGUACUUUAUGAAUAAGGAUCGGCUAACUCCGUGCCAGCAGCCGCGGUAAUACGGAGGAUCCGAGCGUUAUCCGGAUUUAUUGGGUUUAAAGGGAGCGUAGAUGGGUUGUUAAGUCAGUUGUGAAAGUUUGCGGCUCAACCGUAAAAUUGCAAUUGAUACUGGCAGUCUUGAGUACAGUUGAGGUAGGCGGAAUUCGUGGUGUAGCAGUGAAAUGCUUAGAUAUCACGAAGAACCCCGAUUGCGAAGGCAGCUUACUGAACUGUGACUGACGUUGAGGCUCGAAAGUGUGGGUAUCAAACAGGAUUAGAUACCCUUGUAGUC